rnacentral:rRNA from 1 species
UAGGGAAUCUUCGGCAAUGGGGGCAACCCUGACCGAGCAACGCCGCGUGAGUGAAGAAGGUUUUCGGAUCGUAAAGCUCUGUUGUAAGUCAAGAACGGGUGUGAGAGUGGAAAGUUCACACUGUGACGGUAGCUUACCAGAAAGGGACGGCUAACUACGUGCCAGCAGCCGCGGUAAUACGUAGGUCCCGAGCGUUGUCCGGAUUUAUUGGGCGUAAAGCGAGCGCAGGCGGUUUGAUAAGUCUGAAGUUAAAGGCUGUGGCUCAACCAUAGUUCGCUUUGGAAACUGUCAAACUUGAGUGCAGAAGGGGAGAGUGGAAUUCCAUGUGUAGCGGUGAAAUGCGUAGAUAUAUGGAGGAACACCGGUGGCGAAAGCGGCUCUCUGGUCUGUAACUGACGCUGAGGCUCGAAAGCGUGGGGAGCGAACAGGAUUAGAUACCCU